rnacentral:rRNA from 1 species
ACGAACGCUGGCGGCGUGCUUAACACAUGCAAGUCGAACGGAAAGGCCCUGCUUGCAGGGUACUCGAGUGGCGAACGGGUGAGUAACACGUGGGUGAUCUGCCCUGCACUUCGGGAUAAGCCUGGGAAACUGGGUCUAAUACCGGAUAGGAGCCAUUUUUAGUGUGAUGGUUGGAAAGUUUUUUCGGUGUAGGAUGAGCUCGCGGCCUAUCAGCUUGUUGGUGGGGUAAUGGCCUACCAAGGCGGCGACGGGUAGCCGGCCUGAGAGGGUGGACGGCCACAUUGGGACUGAGAUACAGCCCAGACUCCUACGGGAGGCAGCAGUGGGGAAUACUGCACAAUGGGCGCAAGCCUGAUGCAGCGACGCCGCGUGGGGGAUGACGGCCUUCGGGUUGUAAACUCCUUUCGCUAGGGACGAAGCUUUUUGUGACGGUACCUAGAUAAGAAGCACCGGCUAACUACGUG